rnacentral:tRNA from 1 species
GUCCAGCUGGCUCAAUCGGUGGAGCGUGCGACUCUUGAUCUCGGGCUUGUGAGUUCAAGCCCCACGUUGGGCA